UCCCCUUGGGUUCACGGAACCCUUUCAAUUCCUUGAAGUUAUCGACGUCGCAGCCCUCCCGAGCCACGAGGCCCAGGGCUGCUCCCCCCACCUCCUCCUCCCCCGGUCGGCGACAGCGUCUGGCGUGAUCUCGGGAGGUCUCGGAUCCCUCCGAACUUCCGUCUCGGUGCAGGGAGAGGAGCACGGACCUGUCCGCGUGUCCCCCCCGGCGGACAUCUAACGAUGCCCGCACCCUUGGCGGAAGACGCUGUGUCUUUUUCUUUUUUUCCCCCCGUCGGAGACGACCUGCACAGCGGGAACUUCAGGUCUCCUAAUGGGAGACACCGCAGGGGGACACGGGAAGGCGGGAAGACGGUCCAUGCCCACGGGUCAGUGCUCCUGACGCAAUCAAAGGUGUCACCUCAGCGAGAGCAACCAUCUCCAGACCCAGCGCAACGCUCAUUAAGGGCCGAGCACACAGGGAGUCGGAGAAGAGGUGGGAAGACGGGACUCACCCGGCAGAUACUUUGCCGUCACCUCAACGGUUAUCCGUCAGGACAGAGGCGGGAGAUCCAGGAAGGAGACCCUGGAGUGAGCCUUGGGCUGGUGUCUCGAGGGAAGGAAGCUGCGGGAGAAGGAACACCUAUGAGCAGGGCGUAAGGGCGAAAGACGCUGUCGACAGAACAGAAUGGCAGCCCGGAGACUAGGAAAAGAUGGUCACCGACGCCAUGGUGUCCGGCAUUGAUACCUCCACCGAGGGCCACGCUUGUAGGGGACCGAAACCCUGGCUCAGACGUCACCCAUGGCGGCUCAGUCUCCAGGGGCAUCAUCGAAUGGCCAAGAAGCCCCUGAAAGAAAUGCUCAAAGCCCUCCGUCGUCAAGGGAAGGUGAACCAAAGCAACUCUGGGAUCCCACCUCCCACCCGUCCAGUUCUGCCCCAAGGCCCGGCUACAAAGCAGAGGGACACGCGUGUCCCACUUAAGUGGAUUUUGGCCACGUGCAGUAGAGUAUGAACAUGCCAAAGUCCACAGACCCCAAGAAGCUAAGCGACGAGGAGGACCCUGGAGAAGACGCCCCGUUCUCAUUCAGAAGGGGGAAACCAGGACGGACGGCACCGGAGACGGCGGGAGAGGGGGCACAGGACGGGAACCCGCCGCGGACGUGCUCUGAAGGGCUCCACCCCGCGGGGGACCGAGGCACACGCAGGGACGGACGCGUCGAGGAAGGACAAUGUACAAAGAGGACAAUGAGUACAGAGUCCCGGCCCGGAUGGAGCCGACCCGCGGCUCGGUGUCCGUGUGGGUCCCCUAGUCAGGGGAGCAGAGGCCGU